rnacentral:rRNA from 1 species
GAGUUUGAUUAUGGCUCAGGAUGAACGCUGGCGGCAUGCCUAAGACAUGCAAGUCGAACGAGACGACCCAUUGAUAUUUGAGUGUUUGCACGAUUUUUGAUUUGGAUUCUCGUCUAGUGGCGCAAGGGUGAGUAACACGUGGGUAAUCUGCCUUCGAGUCUGGAAUAACAGCUAGAAAUGGUUGCUAAUGCCGGAUUAUAUAUAUUAAGAUACGUCUUUUUAUAUUAAAAGGAGCCUCAAAGCUUCGCUUGAAGAUGAGCCUGCGCCGUAUUAGCUUGUUGGUGGGGUAACGGCCUACCAAGGCGACGAUGCGUAGCCGACCUGAGAGGGUGAUCGGCCACACUGGGACUGAGACACGGCCCAGACUCCUACGGGAGACAGCAGUUAGGAAUAUUCGUCAAUGGAGGAAACUCUGAACGAGCAAUGCCGCGUGAAGGAUGACGGUCCUAUGGAUUGUAAACUUCUGUUGUUAGGGAAGAACGACACUGGUAGGAAAUGACCAGUGAGU